GCAUCCCGGGCCCGACCUCCUGGGGCUGACACUCCCGUGGGAGAGGCCGGCCUCAAACCAGACGCGAGGGGAUUUGGGAAAGGGGAAACGAACUGAAGGACGAAAGGGUCGAAGACACGGUUGGAGCAGAGAGCGCAGCUUUUAAAUCCCUGGGUCAGGAAGUGACACGUGAGCCCCGAAGUGUCUUCAGAAGAUCUUACGCGUCGGAGUGAGCUUGAACAUUUUUCCAUAUGAAGUCAUGUGUCCUUCCUCUUCUACAAACUAACUGUUCCGAUCCAUCUUUCUCUCUUGCUCCCCAUUGCACUUUGUGGACUGUGCCAGGAAAUGAGCUGACAAAAUCAAAGUCUCCUUGAAGGCAGAAGCAUAAAGCAGGGAGAAGAAGUAAGCAAGCAAAAUGAAAUUUCUUUCUAGCAUGAUGCAGCCAGGAGAGAUGUGAACCCUUGGACGUGAGUGUGUCCGUGUUGUGUUCCCACUGUGCUGCGAUCUCUGGGAGAAGCACCAGAUUCAGGAAGAGUCAUUUCAGUUGCUGAGACAAUACAAACUCUGAGCUUUGCAAUACUUCACCACAUUUCAUGGUUGGAGCCCAAUUGUGUGUUUUCAGGUUGAAAAUAAUCUAGUUCCACCUUCUUUCUGUAACAGGUGGUAACUGAGGUAUCCUUUGGAGUCGCAGAGAGGUGAGAUUUUAGCUAUUUGGUUAGUUAGUAUCUGUUUCUGGAACACUGACUCUAUCUAAUGGAAGCUUCCCCCCUGCCCAAACAAUAGAUGUGAGGUGCUUUAAUUUUUUAAUUUUAAAUAUUUAUUUAUUUAUUUAGAGCAGAGGGGGAGGGGCAGAGAAAGCGAGAGAAUCCCAAGCAGACUCCCCAUCAUUAAAUGCAGAGCUUGAUAUGGGGCUCAAUCUCAGGACCUGAGCUGAAAUCAAGAGUCAGAUGCUCAACUGAUGAGCCGCCCAGGUGAUCCCAAAGCAACAUUUAAACAGGAAGAUAUCCUGCCUUAGGAGCAGGAGAAAGAUGUAGUAUAGCCCUAGGCCCACGCUGCCCUCCUUAUCUGCACAUACACAGAAACUUGUGGCACACAGCUGCCCGGCACCCCACACAUGCCACCAGGCUGACAGAGCAGACCUCUCCAUGCCAUGCUGGCUGCGCCCCAAAAGCGGUCUGAGAUAUUCCCAAGAUUACCCAGCUUCGAGAGUAGAAACAUUGGGAGAAAUUCACAUACUUUCUUUAUGGCAGGACAUGCUCCCCUUAACUAGAUGGGGCUUCCUUUUCCUCCUUCUCCUUUUCCAGGUGAGGCAGCCAGCACCUCUCAGGAAGCCCUACAGAGAUCAUAAAAAAGCCCUACAGAGAUCAUAAAAAUCCAUGCCUCAGAGUAGAAAGAGCUCUGCCGUCCCUGAUUUUAGGUUCAAGUUCAGUGACCUUAAGCAAGUCUCUUUGAACUUCAGUUUUCUCACCUCCAAAAUGGGCAGAGAAAAAGUAGUGGCUAAUUAUUCUAAGGGCUCAAGGUGUAAUAUUCUUGCACCUAGGCUGUACUAAAUACCUAGUGGCUAUUAUUCUAUCCAGGUGGUACAACCUCACUCCCAGGGGAGUCUAGUCAUAUGCCUCAUCCUUGCUUCUCCAGAUGAGGUCCCCAAACAAAUAGCAACGCCAGACUUUCUGAAUUACACUCUGCAUUUGAAGCAGGUCCUCAGGUGAUUCCUUUGGACAUUAUAGUCUGAGAAAUGUUAUAGUCCUAGCUGGUCCCAGCUGGGCCUUAACCCUGGAGCUCCCACAGACCCAAAUCUCAACUAAAGCACAGCCUCCUCUUUAGCCUCCAUCACAUACAAAACAUGCACAUGCCCAGCGAGCUUCUUACAAGCUGAGCAUCAUCUCAUCUAAUCCCCAAACUGUCUUGGAGGGGAAGUGCUGUGCUCUCCAUUUCUCAAAUGAGGAAACCAACUCUACCAGAUGAAAAAUGGCUUUCCAAUGUUGUCCAGCUGGUCUGUCACAGGGCCAGGAUUCAAAACCAGGCCCAUUUGAAUCCAGAUCCAUAGCUGAUAAAGACUCUCUCUUUAACCAGACUCUACCUAGGCUUCUCUGAGCUUCCUUCUUGAGUAGCCCUUAAACUUGGCCUGUAAAACUGCAGACUCUCAGCACAAAAGAUUUUUUAGCCUACCCUCCACCCCCACACCACCACAUCAAAAGACUUGAACAAACACCAACAUAGUUUCUAGCAACUCAAGGCUGCAUCCCUAAAAUGACCUCAGCCCCCAGAAAGUGCUGCCUGAGAAAAUUUAAGGCUGCCCACAGGAAGGUACUCCACUCCAGCCAACACCCCAAGAGAAGGCUUUUGUCUCCCCAGUCUCUGGGAGGCUCGGGCCCAACUUCAGUAAGCAAGUACCACUUAGCAGAACUCAAAUGGGUUUCACGUGGACUAGCCCCCACUUCCUGCUUCUCAUAGAUCCACAGGAAAUUCCCUGUACAACUGCCAGCACCCACCCCCUCUUCCCUUGAAAAUGCCCACUAUAAAAAUGGAAGUUGAGGUCAGUGUAUGCUGGAUCCUCUUCCCUAUCACAACAGUACCUUAUUGAUUAAUGUCUAUCCCACUGUAAUUAGCGUCUGCCUUUAUCUUUGACAACUCUUUACUCUGUGCUAUCUAGUGCUGAUAUGAUACAGAAUUCCCAGAAGCCAUUUCUCUACUCGGCCAUCCUAGUUAAAAGAAAUGCUGCUCCCAUAGUACUUCUUUGACAGAUGGUCACAGAUUCGGACCUCGGGUUGCCAUAGUCUGAGAAUCCUUCAUUUGUGUGCUCUGAUGCCACACCCAUUAGCAAAGUUGACAGAGGGUACAAGUCUGUAGCCAUGUGGCAGCACAGAGGGCAGUAUAAACACCAACUAAGAUGUGUCAGAGAUGUUCAGCCAUUGCUUCCCUUCUGGGCUUCCACAGAGUUUCACUAUGACUGUAGAGGGGCAAGCUGCAACAGUCUGGCAUGCCCACCUUCUCCUUGGGGAGCUCUGCAGCCCUGGGGGUGGGGGUGACAGGCAGGGGAUCUCUGAGCCACCAAUGAAGACCCUGAGAUGGGGGAUAUGUGGUGAGAGUAUGGAGCCUGUUCUUUGAGAUCAUUUCCAGCAAAGUGAGGGAGCCCCAGCCAAGUGAGGAUUAUUCUGGAAGUAUCUGAAAUCAGGGCUUGUGGGAGCACUGGAGGCUUGCAGAUGCCAUGCCCACAAGUUGCUGCCGGGAGAAUGAGGAGCAAAGAGAAUGGGAAGGGCUGAAAACCCCCAUCAGAGUGAUCACUCCUGAGGGAAUCCUGAGGAUGCUUGACUGUCACGGGAUCACUGGGGAGAGUUCAACCCUACAGGAAUCCACCCCUCAAUGCUUGUCAAGAGAGGAAUGGAGGGAUGUGUGUUCAGUUGCUUUGGGAGAGAAUAUUGCUGUGAGAAGGAAAAAUUGUUAGCUGUUAUGAUCACAUGGUGUCCCCUUUCUCAUAGCUAAGAAGAAGACAGGUCCAGCCAUGUAGGUAAGGUGGCAAGAUAUUUAGUGUUCCACAAAUAAAACUGGUCAGGCAUGAUCAUUACCACACCAAGCUUGUUCAUGCCCAAGGGUGCACCCGAAACCACAACUGACACCGAUUCCAGAGAAGUACAAUGCUGAGAGCAUCAUCCCAUUUAUUACUACAUUUGGCUUAAAAUGCCAAUUGUUUGUUGAAGGUAGAAAAAACAUCAGAUUAGGACCAGUUUAGAUUUCCUAUAUUCUCUUGAUCCUUUUCUCUAUGUCUUCUUAAGGCCUUGCCCCUACUUCCUUUUCUUUUUUUUUCUCUUUCUUUCUUUCUUUUUUUUAAAUU